CGAGUCUUAACUGGGCGUUAAGUUGCAGGGUAUAGACCCGAAACCCGGUGAUCUAGCCAUGGGCAGGUUGAAGGUUGGGUAACACUAACUGGAGGACCGAACCGACUAAUGUUGAAAAAUUAGCGGAUGACCUGUGGCUGGGGGUGAAAGGCCAAUCAAACCGGGAGAUAGCUGGUUCUCCCCGAAAGCUAUUUAGGUAGCGCCUCGUGAACUCAUCUUCGGGGGUAGAGCACUGUUUCGGCUAGGGGGUCAUCCCGACUUACCAACCCGAUGCAAACUGCGAAUACCGAAGAAUGUUAUCACGGGAGACACACGGCGGGUGCUAACGUCCGUCGUGAAGAGGGAAACAACCCAGACCGCCAGCUAAGGUCCCAAAGUCAUGGUUAAGUGGGAAACGAUGUGGGAAGGCCCAGACAGCCAGGAUGUUGGCUUAGAAGCAGCCAUCAUUUAAAGAAAGCGUAAUAGCUCACUGGUCGAGUCGGCCUGCGCGGAAGAUGUAACGGGGCUAAACCAUGCACCG
rnacentral:rRNA from 1 species